UACGUAGGGUGCGAGCGUUGUCCGGAAUUAUUGGGCGUAAAGGGCGUGUAGGCGGUCCGGUAAGUCAGCUGUGAAAGUCAAGGGCUCAACCCUUGAAAGCCGGUUGAUACUGUCGGGCUAGAGUUCGGAAGAGGCGAGUGGAAUUCCUGGUGUAGCGGUGAAAUGCGCAGAUAUCAGGAGGAACACCAAUUGCGAAGGCAGCUCGCUGGGACGUAACUGACGCUGAGACGCGAAAGCGUGGGGAGCGAACAGG
rnacentral:rRNA from 1 species